AACAAACGCUGGCGGCGUGCCUAACACAUGCAAGUCGUACGAGAAAGGGUCCUUCGGGGCCUGAGUAAAGUGGCGCACGGGUGAGUAACGCGUGGAUAAUCUGCCCUUCAGUUGGGAAUAACUCAUCGAAAGGUGGGCUAAUACCGAAUAAUGCUGUGAGACCUCGGUUGAUCAGCCAAAGAGAGCCUCUGCUUGCAAGCCCUCGCUGAAGGAUGAGUCCGCGUACCAUUAGCUAGUUGGUAGGGUAAUGGCCUACCAAGGCGACGAUGGUUAGCUGGUCUGAGAGGAUGAGCGGCCACACUGGAACUGAGACCCGGUCCAGACUCCUACGGGAGGCAGCAGUGAGGAAUCUUGCGCAAUGGGGGCAACCCUGACGCAGCAACGCCGCGUGAGUGAGGAAGGUCUUCGGAUCGUAAAGCUCUGUCGGAUGGAAAGAACCGCAUAGGGGUAAACAGCCCCUGUGUCUGACGGUACCAUCAAAGGAAGCACCGGCUAACUCCGUGCCAGCCGCCGCAGUAACAC
rnacentral:rRNA from 1 species